rnacentral:rRNA from 1 species
AUUGAACGCUGGCGGCAGGCCUAACACAUGCAAGUCGAGCGGAGCGGCGGACGGGUGAGUAAUUCCUAGGAAUCUGCCUGGUAGUGAGGCAUAACGUCCGGAACCGGGCGCUAUUCCCGCCUCAUAUCAGCUGAGCCUUGGGCGGAUUGGCUAGUUGGUGGGGGAAAGGCCUACCAAGGCGACGAUCCGUAACUGGUCUGAGAGGAGGAUCAGUCACACUGGAACGGAGACACGGUCCAGACUCCUACGGGAGGCAGCAGUGGGGAAUAUUGGACAAUGGGCGAAAGCCUGAUGGAGCCAUGCCGCGUGAGUGAAGAAGGUAUUCGGAUUGUAAAGCACUUUAAGUUGGGAGGCGUUACCAACAGAAUAAGCAACGGCUAACUGCGUGCCAGCCGCCGCGGUAAUAC